ACUACGAUAGGUAGGGGCCCUGAGAGGGGGAUCCCCCACACUGGUACUGAGACACGGACCAGACUCCUACGGGAGGCAGCAGUGAGGAAUAUUGGACAAUGGAGGCAACUCUGAUCCAGCCAUGCCGCGUGCAGGAAGACUGCCCUAUGGGUUGUAAACUGCUUUUAUACAGGAAGAAACACUCCCUCGUGAGGGAGCUUGACGGUACUGUAAGAAUAAGGAUCGGCUAACUCCGUGCCAGCAGCCGCGGUAAUACGGAGGAUCCAAGCGUUAUCCGGAAUCAUUGGGUUUAAAGGGUCCGUAGGUGGAUAAUUAAGUCAGAGGUGAAAGUUUGCAGCUCAACUGUAAAAUUGCCUUUGAUACUGGUUAUCUUGAGUUAUUGUGAAGUAGUUAGAAUAUGUAGUGUAGCGGUGAAAUGCAUAGAUAUUACAUAGAAUACCAAUUGCGAAGGCAGAUUACUAACAAUAUACUGACACUGAUGGACGAAAGCGUGGGUAGCGAACAGGAUUAGAUACCCUGGUAGUCCACGCCGUAAACGAUGGAUACUAGCUGUUGGGCUUCG
rnacentral:rRNA from 1 species